rnacentral:lncRNA from 1 species
AUGGAGAACAUCAAUGUGCCAUUUUUUUUAUUUGAUGAAAGUAUUAAAUUAUAUCCUCUUUGCAUGCUUAUUUUUAUUUUAUCGAUCUCAGCAAGGUGAUUCUUGGGUUUGGAUUCUAACUCGAUCGUUUUAUUUGAUAAAGCUAUUGAUUUAUAUAUUUUUAAAAUUUUAAAAAUUAUUUUUUACUAUGUGGCUAGAACCCAACAGAGGUAUCAGAUCCACCCUUGUCUAAUUCGAUCA